CUGUCCCCGCACUCACCCCCAGUGCAGGGCAGCCGCAGAUGCCUGUGCCCACAGCACAAGGGGCUGGGGAGGGAUUUUGGCUCACCCCAGUGUGAAUGGGGGUGAGCUGCCUGCUCUGCUGGUCUCCCACUCGGCUGCAGGGCUUGAAGGUGAGAAAGGAAAAGGAAGACUCAGUGCCAUCCAUGCAAAGCUUUGCACAGGUUCCUGGCAAGACAAAAGCCUCCUGACACCCUGGCAUGUUCAUUUCAUCAGGGGUCUACAUGGUGUGGUUUUUCCUUCAGAUGAAAACAUUUUCAAGCUCCACUCCCAAGGCAGAUCUCCUACCUAUCCGUAGUUUACCUCUAAGCUCCUGCAUGAGGGCAGGGAGCAAGAUGCUGGCCAGUGACACGGCUGCCUCCUGGCCAGGGGAGUGUGGGAUCCUGUCCCCCUGCACUAGGGAGAAAUUAAAGGUAACCCUCCUCGAGCAGGGAAUGCUGAACAAGAUGCUCUGAUCCACCACAGGAGCUAGGAUUAGGUGCUGGUUCUUCACACUGCAUUUCUGCAUAUUCUGGAUCAUCAUAAGCUGCUCUGAAAUGUUAACUGGGAACAUGAGCUCAUGAGCCCAGUCCUACAGCUGUAAUUUGGAAGUGAGUGAUUAAAUUUUCUACUUAAAAUAAAGCUGGC